GAUACAGCUCAGUGGCACAGCGCCUGCCUAGCAAGCACAAGGUCCUGAGUUCAAUUCUCAGUAUC
rnacentral:tRNA from 1 species